UUGGGCACUCUAAUGAGACUGCCGGUGACAAACCGGAGGAAGUGGGGAUGACGUCAAGUCCUCAUGGCCCUUAUAGGUAGGGCUACACACGUCAUACAAUGGAUGGGUACAAAGGGUCGCCAACCCGCAGGGGGAGCCAAUCCCAUAAAACCAUUCGUAGUCCGGAUCGCAGUCUGCAACUCGACUGCGUGAAGUCGGAAUCGCUAGUAAUCGUGGAUCAGAAUGUCACGGUGAAUACGUUCCCGGGUCUU
rnacentral:rRNA from 1 species